UACAGAGGUCUCAAGCGUUGUUCGGAUUUAUUGGGCGUAAAGGGCGUGUAGGCGGCGCCGUAAGUCGGGGGUGAAAUUUCGGAGCUUAACUCCGAAACUGCAUUCGAUACUGCGAUGCUAGAGGACUGGAGAGGAGACUGGAAUUCAUGGUGUAGCGGUGAAAUGCGUAGAGAUCAUGAGGAAGACCAGUGGCGAAGGCGGGUCUCUGGACAGUACCUGACACUGAGACACGAAAGCCUGGGGAGCAAACGGG
rnacentral:rRNA from 1 species